GUCUUUUUGUUUUUAUAUAAAGUCUAGUCUGCUCUAUGAUAUUUAAAUGGCCGCAGUAUUUUAACUGUGCAAAGGUAGCAUGAUAAUUUGCUUCUUAAUUAGGAGCUUGUAUGAAUGGCUGAAUGAGAGAUUAACUUUCUUUAUUUUAUUUUACAUAAUUUUAUUUUUUAGUUAAAAAGCUAUGAUAUUUUUAUAAGACGAGAAGACCCUAUAGAACUUUAUAUUUAAUUUUAUUAUUAAUUUUUAGGAAAUUAUUUUAUUAUAUUAUUAUUUAUUUUGUUGGGGUGACAGGUAAAUUUAUUUAACUUUACUUAUUUAUAUUUCAUAAAUUUAUGAUUUAUUGAUCCUAAUAUUAUGAUUAAAAGUUUAAGUUACCUUAGGGAUAACAGCGUUAUUUUAUUGGAGAGUUCUUAUUUAUAAUAAAGUUUGCGACCUCGAUGUUGGAUUAAAAUUAGUUUUAUGGUGUAGAAGCUUUUAUUCUAGGUCUGUUCGACCUUUAAAUUUUUACA
rnacentral:rRNA from 1 species